AGAAAAUAGGUGCAGGAGGAGGCCAUUUGGCCCUUCGAGCCUGCACUGCCAUUCAUUGUGAUCAUGGCUGAUCAUCCACAAUCAGUAACCCGUGCCAGACAACAGUAAGAGGUAUAUGACUGGAGCUGCAAGCACAAAGACAAACUGAACUCACCACGUUAUCACAUCCGUUGGACUUCAGACUGGACCUUUCAGGGGGAUCAAGCUUUGGCAAAGUGG